CUCUCUCUCUGUGGCCUUUUUCAGUUUUUCUUAUCCUUAGCCGACUAAACUCUCUCUCUCUCUCUCUCUCUCAAGUUCUCUGGUUGUUCAGGGCAGUAUGAAUUCUACAGAGAAUGGGUAAUUCCUUUCUCUUUUUCUUUGUCUCUCCCUUUCUCUUAUGCGUUAUACACAUCUGCUUCCUUUCAGAUCUUCGAAUUUAGGUUUUUGUUUGACUUCCAGAGGAAAUAGCGGCUUAAAUUCAUCGUCGCUACUAUCUCGAAGCUUUCUCCCACCCACUCUUGGCAGCAGACCCGUCUCUGAGACGAUUCAAGUCGCAUAAGAAGGGUGUGUUGGCGAUCAAAAGGAUUGGGGAGGUUCUCAUAGUUGUCGUUAUUGUUGUCAGGUUUGUCAAGAUGUUUACCUCAAGGAAGAAGAUUCAUAAGGAUAAGGAUGCCGAGCCGACUGAGUUUGAAGAGUCGGUUGCACAAGUAAGCUAGAUUGCUUUCCUUAGCGUUGGAUGCUGGACCUGUGAUAGCCGGUGAAAUACUGGAUAUUGAUGAUCAAAUUAAGGAUCCAAACUAUUUAUUCACCGGCUUCCUUCCAUAUUUGAUGGUUCAGCUAAAUUAAAAUUAUGUUGAGCUUAAAAUUAUCACAACCAAAGCUCGCAGCCAUAGCAAUAUUCAGGGCAACCAUGCAGAUGACAUCUCUUUUCGAAAGGGUGCAUUAGUAUUCCCCUGUGGAGGGUCCACAUCACUUGAGGACUUGAGGUGCGUUUGCAUUUGACAGAUAUCUGAUACUGUCUAGUAUUACUGCUGGAUAGGAUCAUGACAUAUGGUCGUGCCUUCUGUUUUCUGAACCAUUUCUACUGCUGGGAUUAUGUUGUUAAAGGGGGAAAAUCUUAUUGGUAUCCCACCUUCAACCAUACACAGCCUUGUUUUUUAUAAUCCAAGAAUUUACUUUGAUACGAAAUGUAUUUUGUUAGAAAUGUAAAGAACAUCUUGCUAUGUAAAGUUUAAUAUUUUCGAUUGAGUUGUGGAUUUGUUCAUUUUAUUGUAAAUAUUUGAAAUAUAUUUUUUGU